GACGAACGCUGGCGGCGUGCCUAAUACAUGCAAGUAGAACGCACAGUUUAUACCGUAGCUUGCUACACCAUAAACUGUGAGUUGCGAACGGGUGAGUAACGCGUAGGUAACCUGCCUGGUAGCGGGGGAUAACUAUUGGAAACGAUAGCUAAUACCGCAUAAUAUUGAUUAUUGCAUGAUAAUUGAUUGAAAGAUGCUAUUGCAUCACUACCAGAUGGACCUGCGUUGUAUUAGCUAGUAGGUGAGGUAACGGCUCACCUAGGCGACGAUACAUAGCCGACCUGAGAGGGUGAUCGGCCACACUGGGACUGAGACACGGCCCAGACUCCUACGGGAGGCAGCAGUAGGGAAUCUUCGGCAAUGGACGGAAGUCUGACCGAGCAACGCCGCGUGAGUGAAGAAGGUUUUCGGAUCGUAAAGCUCUGUUGUAAGAGAAGAACGGGUGUGAGAGUGGAAAGUUCACACUGUGACGGUAUCUUACCAGAAAGGGACGGCUAACUACGUG
rnacentral:rRNA from 1 species